rnacentral:rRNA from 1 species
CCCUUAGAUGUCCGGGGCUGCACGCGCGCUACACUGUAGAAAGCAGCGUGCUUUAAAACCUUUCCUGAAAAGGAUGGGUAACCCCAGCAAAAUUCUACGUGCUUGGGAUAGAGAUUUGCAAUUUUCUCUCUUGAACGAGGAAUUCCCAGUAAGUGCGAGUCAUCAGCUCGCGUUGAUUACGUCCCUGCCCUUUGUACACACCGCCCGUCGCUCCUACCGAUUGGGUGUGCUGGUGAAAUGUUCGGAUCGGCCGUUUGUCGCGGUUUCCGCGUCAUGUGGCUGAGAAGUUCAUUAAACCCUCCCACCUAGAGGAAGGAGAAGUCGUAACA